rnacentral:rRNA from 1 species
GACGAACGCUGGCGGCGUGCCUAAUACAUGCAAGUAGAACGCUGAAGGAGGAGCUUGCUUCUCUGGAUGAGUUGCGAACGGGUGAGUAACGCGUAGGUAACCUGCCUGGUAGCGGGGGAUAACUAUUGGAAACGAUAGCUAAUACCGCAUAAUAGCAGUUGUUGCAUGACAACUGUUUGAAAGGUGCAGUUGCACCACUACCAGAUGGACCUGCGUUGUAUUAGCUAGUUGGUGGGGUAACGGCUCACCAAGGCGACGAUACAUAGCCGACCUGAGAGGGUGAUCGGCCACACUGGGACUGAGACACGGCCCAGACUCCUACGGGAGGCAGCAGUAGGGAAUCUUCGGCAAUGGACGGAAGUCUGACCGAGCAACGCCGCGUGAGUGAAGAAGGUUUUCGGAUCGUAAAGCUCUGUUGUAAGAGAAGAACGAGUGUGAGAGUGGAAAGUUCACACUGUGACGGUAUCUUACCAGAAAGGGACGGCUAACUACGUG